rnacentral:rRNA from 1 species
UUCGGGUGCUGACGAGUGGUGGACGGGUGAGUAAAGCGUAGGAAUCUGCCUCGCAGAGGGGGAUAACACGGGGAAACUCGUGCUAAUACCGCAUACGAUCUAAGGAUGAAAGUGGGGGACUUUAGGGCCUCGCGCUGUGAGAUGAGCCUACGUCCGAUUAGCUGGUUGGUAGGGUAAAGGCCUACCAAGGCGACGAUCGGUAGCUGGUCUGAGAGGACGAUCAGCCACACUGGAACUGAGACACGGUCCAGACUCCUACGGGAGGCAGCAGUGGGGAAUAUUGGACAAUGGGCGCAAGCCUGAUCCAGCAAUGCCGCGUGUGUGAAGAAGGCCUGCGGGUUGUAAAGCACUUUAAGCAGGAAAGAAGGUGUAAGGGUUAAUACCCCUUGCAAUUGACGUUACCUGCAGAAUAAGCACCGGCUAACUCCGUGCCAGCAGCCGCGGUAAUACGGAGGGUGCGAGCGUUAAUCGGAAUUACUGGGCGUAAAGCGCGCGUAGGCGGUUGACUAAGUCUGCUGUGAAAGCCCCGGGCUUAACCUGGGAACUGCAGUGGAUACUGGUUGGCUAGAGUAUGGUAGAGGGUAGUGGAAUUUCCGGUGUAGCAGUGAAAUGCGUAGAGAUCGGAAGGAACACCAGCAGCGAAGGCGGUGAUCUGGGCCAAUACUGACGCUGAGGAGCGAAAGCGUGGGGAGCGAACAGGAUUAGAUACCCUGGUAGUCCACGCCGUAAACGGUGGGCACUAGGUGUGGGGACUUUUCAACGGUUUCCGCGCCGCAGCUAACGCAUUAAGUGCCCCGCCUGGGGAGUACGGCCGCAAGGCUAAAACUCAAAGAAAUUGACGGGGGCCCGCACAAGCGGUGGAGUAUGUGGCUUAAUUCGAUGCACGCGAAGAACCUUACCUAGGCUUGACAUGCAUCUCUAAGUUGGUGAAAGCCAGCGAGUGUAGCAAAUACACAAAUUUGCACAGGUGCUGCAUGGCUGUCGUCAGCUCGUGUCGUGAGAUGUUGGGUUAAGUCCCGCAACGAGCGCAACCCUGUGGUUAGUUACCAGCCGGUUUACCGGGGAACUCUAGCCGGACUGCCCCUGUGAAACGGGAGGAAGGUGGGGAUGACGUCAAGUCAGCAUGGCCCUUACGCCUAGGGCUGCAUACGUACUACAUGCUCAGUACAGAAUGAACCGAUACCGCGAGGUGGAGGAAAUCCCUAAAACUGAGCCCAUUCGGAUCGCAGGCUGCACUCGCCUGCGUGAAGCCG